GAUGAACGCUGGCGGCGUGCCUAAUACAUGCAAGUCGAGCGAACAGACGAGGAGCUUGCUCCUCUGACGUUAGCGGCGGACGGGUGAGUAACACGUGGAUAACCUACCUAUAAGACUGGGAUAACUUCGGGAAACCGGAGCUAAUACCGGAUAAUAUAUUGAACCGCAUGGUUCAAUAGUGAAAGACGGUUUUGCUGUCACUUAUAGAUGGAUCCGCGCCGCAUUAGCUAGUUGGUAAGGUAACGGCUUACCAAGGCAACGAUGCGUAGCCGACCUGAGAGGGUGACCGGCCACACUGGAACUGAGACACGGUCCAGACUCCUACGGGAGGCAGCAGUAGGGAAUCUUCCGCAAUGGGCGAAAGCCUGACGGAGCAACGCCGCGUGAGUGAUGAAGGUCUUCGGAUCGUAAAACUCUGUUAUUAGGGAAGAACAAAUGUGUAAGUAACUAUGCACGUCUUGACGGUACCUAAUCAGAAAGCCCCGGCUAACUACGUG
rnacentral:rRNA from 1 species